CUACCCUUAGGUGGGGCAUAAACCCGGGAAACUGGGGCUAAUUCCCCAUAGAUACAGAAGGCUGGAAUGCCUCUGUAUUCAAAGCUCCGGCGCCUAAGGAUGAGUCUGCGACCUAUCAGGUAGUAGUCAGGGUCACGACCUGACUAGCCAACGACGGGUACGGGGUGUGAGAGCACUUGCCCGGAGAUGGUUUCUGAGACUCGAAACCAGGCCCUACGGGGCGCAGCAGGCGCGAAAACUUCGCAAUGCGGGAAACCGUGACGAGGGAACUCCAAGUGUCUAUGCAAUGCAUAGACUGUUUUUCAGCCUAAAUAGCUGUUAGAGUAAGGGGUGGGUAAGACCGGUGCCAGCCGCCGCGGUAACACCGGCACCCCGAGUGGUAGCCACUAUUAUUGGGCCUAAAGCGUUCGUAGCCGGUUUAGUAAAUUCUUGGGUAAAUCGUACAGCUUAACUGUGCGGAUUCCGGGGACACUACUAGACUUGAGACCGGGAGAGAUUAGAGGUACUUGCAGGGGAGCGGUGAAAUGUUGUAAUCCUGCAGGGACCACCAGUGGCGAAGGCGUCUAAUCAUAACGGCUCUGACGGUGAGGAACGAAACCCUGGGGCGCAAACGGGAUUAGAUACCCCGGUAGUCCAGGGCGUAAACGCUGCUGACUUGGUGUUGGAGAUCCUACGAGGGUGUCCAGUGCUGGCGCGAA
rnacentral:rRNA from 1 species